GACGAACGCUGGCGGCGUGCCUAAUACAUGCGAGUAGAACGCUGAAGAGAGGAGCUUGCUCUUCUUGGAUGAGUUGCGAACGGGUGAGUAACGCGUAGGUAACCUGCCUGGUAGCGGGGGAUAACUAUUGGAAACGAUAGCUAAUACCGCAUAACAACAGUUGUUGCAUGACAGCUGUUUAAAAGAUGCAAUUGCAUCACUACCAGAUGGACCUGCGUUGUAUUAGCUAGUUGGUGAGGUAACGGCUCACCAAGGCGACGAUACAUAGCCGACCUGAGAGGGUGAUCGGCCACACUGGGACUGAGACACGGCCCAGACUCCUACGGGAGGCAGCAGUAGGGAAUCUUCGGCAAUGGGGGGAACCCUGACCGAGCAACGCCGCGUGAGUGAAGAAGGUUUUCGGAUCGUAAAGCUCUGUUGUAAGAGAAGAACGGGUGUGAGAGUGGAAAGUUCACACUGUGACGGUAUCUUACCAGAAAGGGACGGCUAACUACGUG
rnacentral:rRNA from 1 species